GAUGAACGCUGACAGAAUGCUUAACACAUGCAAGUCUUUGGCGAAGCUGUGCUUGCACAGCCUAGCCAAGGCGGACGGGUGAGUAACGCGUAAGGAACUUGCCCUGCAGUCAGGGAUAACAGACGGAAACGACUGAUAAGACCUGGAAAAGUCAGGCGGACUCAUGUCCAGCCUGAUGAAAAGAGAUGCUGCAGGAGAGCCUUGCGUCCUAUUAGCUUGUUGGUGGGGUAACGGCCCACCAAGGCGAUGAUAGGUAGCCGGCCUGAGAGGGUGGACGGCCACAAGGGGACUGAGAUACGGCCCUUACUCCUACGGGAGGCAGCAGUGGGGAAUAUUGGACAAUGGGGGCAACCCUGAUCCAGCAAUUCUGUGUGCACGAUGAAGGUUUUCGGAUUGUAAAGUGCUUUCAGCAGGGAAGAAAAAAAUGACGGUACCUGCAGAAGAAGCGACGGCUAAAUACGUG
rnacentral:rRNA from 1 species